rnacentral:rRNA from 1 species
UGUUGAUGUAAAUAUUUACUUUAAUAUUAUUAGAUGUGGUCUUUAAAUUUAAAUGAUUUGGCGGCGUUUUAGUCUUUUUAGAGGAACCUGUCCUGUAAUUGAUAAUCCUCAUGGAACCUUACUUAAUUUUUAUGUUUAUAUAUCGUCGUUUUAGAAAUUUUAUUAGGUUAAAAAUUUUUUUGAUAUGUAAAUAUAUAAUAUGUCAGAUCAAGGUUUAGCUUAUAAUUAAGUGGAGAUGGGUUACAAUAUUUUUUAAUAUAUGGAUUAUUUUAUUGGCUUAAAUUAUGAAGGUGGAUUUAAAUGUAAUUAUUUUUAUAAUGUUUUAAUGAAAGGAGCUCUAAAAUGUGU